AGUGAACGCUGGCGGUAGGCCUAACACAUGCAAGUCGAACGGCAGCACAGUAAGAGCUUGCUCUUACGGGUGGCGAGUGGCGGACGGGUGAGGAAUACCUCGGAUUCUACUUUUUCGUGGGGGAUAACGUAGGGAAACUUACGCUAAUACCGCAUACGACCUACGGGUGAAAGCAGGGGAUCUUCGGACCUUGCGCGAUUGAAUGAGCCGAUGUCGGAUUAGCUAGUUGGCGGGGUAAAGGCCCACCAAGGCGACGAUCCGUAGCUGGUCUGAGAGGAUGAUCAGCCACACUGGAACUGAGACACGGUCCAGACUCCUACGGGAGGCAGCAGUGGGGAAUAUUGGACAAUGGGCGCAAGCCUGAUCCAGCCAUACCGCGUGGGUGAAGAAGGCCUUCGGGUUGUAAAGCCCUUUUGUUGGGAAAGAAAAGCAGCAGGUUAAUACCCCGCUGUUCUGACGGUACCCAAAGAAUAAGCACCGGCUAACUUCGUG
rnacentral:rRNA from 1 species